rnacentral:lncRNA from 1 species
GUAGUCUGGAACCUGCGGUUUGUGCAGGGGUCGGUGGCAGAGACAGGGUCUCACUCUGUCACCCAGGCUGGCACGAUCACCGCUCCCUGCAGCCUCGACCUCCCGGGCUCAAGUGAUCCUCCCACCUCAGCCUCUCGAGUAGCUGGAACCACAGGCAUGCAACAACAUGCUCGGGCUAAUUUUUUUAAUUUUGGAGGAUUUUUUUGUAGAGAUGUGGUUUCGCUAUGUUGCCCAGGCUGGUCUGGAACUCCUGCACUCAAGCAAUCCUCCUGCCUCGGCCUCCCAAAGUGCUGGGAUUACAGGCAUGAGCCACCACACCCAGCAAUUUCCAUGAAUUUUCAAUAGCCGUGUGUGCCUCACAGCUGCUGUGUUGGUGGGUAAAUGGCCCCCACACACCGCAUUCCCCAUCGUACAGUGGAGAAAUAAUGACUUAAAGCAGAACUUUCUGAGCCCAGGCGGCGGGUGGUGUGGAUUCUGACUCUGCUCAGACACUGGACUGGACGGGACUGGCUUGGUCCUGGGAGAAGGUGGGCGAGAGCUGUCUAUGAGCUGCAGGUGCUGGAGGCUUCCGGAUUUACAUCUGCACUGAAACUGUGGCCACCCGCCCCAUGGGGCUACCGAAAUAUAAACAGAUUCAAAUUAAACACAACCUACACUUCGAAAUUCAGUUAUCUGCUUGCACCGUAGCCCCGUGGGGCUGGCGUCUCCCAUACUGAAUGGUGUGGAGCUGAAACGUCUCCACUGGAGUUUCACGGGGCAGGCAGUUGUCAGCCCCUGUGGCUGGCGGGGAGCGUGUACAAUCAACCCUGUGCUUCGGCUUCAGUGAUUAAACUGUUUUACCCACCGGGAAAGCCGAGGCCGUUCAUGCUGAAGGGGAUGUGAGGGAAGAUUCCCCCAGCCCAGGAAGCCAAGGUGGUGCCUCUGCCAGCCCCAGAGAGUGGGUCCCCAAAAGAUGCAGAGGCCAGAGAUGGGGCAUGGGCCCUGCCAUUUCUAAAGGGGAAGUGAACAAGAAGAGGCGGCAUUAACUGUCAUUGUCACCCCCACUUCCCGCAACGCCCAGAGGUUGUCCACACACACACACACACACACACACACACACACACACUCCACCCUCACAGGGCACUGGCCCGUGGCCCUCUCU